rnacentral:rRNA from 1 species
GAUGAACGCUGGCGGCGUGCCUAAUACAUGCAAGUCGAGCGAACAGACGAGGAGCUUGCUCCUCUGACGUUAGCGGCGGACGGGUGAGUAACACGUGGAUAACCUACCUAUAAGACUGGGAUAACUUCGGGAAACCGGAGCUAAUACCGGAUAAUAUAUUGAACCGCAUGGUUCAAUAGUGAAAGACGGUUUUGCUGUCACUUAUAGAUGGAUCCGCGCCGCAUUAGCUAGUUGGUAAGGUAACGGCUUACCAAGGCAACGAUGCGUAGCCGACCUGAGAGGGUGAUCGACCACACUGUAACUGAGACACGGUCCAGACUCCUACGGGAGGCAGCAGUAGGGAAUCUUCCGCAAUGGGCGAAAGCCUGACGGAGCAACGCCGCGUGAGUGAUGAAGGUCUUCGGAUCGUAAAACUCUGUUAUUAGGGAAGAACAAAUGUGUAAGUAACUAUGCACGUCUUGACGGUACCUAAUCAGAAAGCCACGGCUAACUACGUG